rfam:Schistosoma curassoni strain Dakar, Senegal genome assembly, scaffold: SCTD_scaffold0018357
AUCCAGCUGACGAGUCCCCAAAUAGGACGAAACGCACGUCCUGGAC